rnacentral:tRNA from 1 species
GCCUGGGUAGCUCAGUUGGUUAAGCAUCUGACUUUGGCUCAGGUCAUGAUCUCAUUGUCUGUGGGAUUGAUCCCCACGUCGGGCU